rnacentral:rRNA from 1 species
UACGUAGGGUGCAAGCGUUGUCCGGAAUUAUUGGGCGUAAAGAGCUCGUAGGCGGUCUGUCGCGUCGGCUGUGAAAACCCGGAGCUCAACUCCGGGCCUGCAGUCGAUACGGGCAGACUGGAGUUCGGCAGGGGAGACUGGAAUUCCUGGUGUAGCGGUGAAAUGCGCAGAUAUCAGGAGGAACACCGGUGGCGAAGGCGGGUCUCUGGGCCGAUACUGACGCUGAGAGACGAAAGCUAGGGGAGCGAAUGGG